rnacentral:rRNA from 1 species
ACCACAUCUGAGGACCAAACACACUGCAUGUAGUGAGAAGCGAGCUUCUUCUGAGGUGUUUUUGUUUCGGAGUACCAAGUGAACCACAAAGGAGUUUUUGUAGCGAACUGCGUGAGAGAGAAAAGUGAGCUUCAAAACAUAAAUAUCCACUCAUUAUUUUUAUACAACCACACAACUAUCCAGUACACAGCAGAAUCAACGACACAAAGUACCCAACCGAACUGCACUAGGCAAAGACUAUACAAAAUGACCAUCCAUUCUUACUACUCUUUCCUCUCUCCAUUUCUCAUAAACAACAAAAUGGACUUCAAAUGAAUAUUGAUGUUCUAUUCUCUUUCUUACUGAGUGCACUGCAAAUGAUUUCCAGAAGAAAAAUUGAGUGAGCUGCCAAACAUCGCACGUCAGCGACGGUGGACUGCAUUAUGGUCACCGGCAAAACGCAGGACAUGCAUGAUUAGCUGGCGAACCCCAAGUGCACACUAGAGGAGCUGCAUGUUCUGCUUUUCCUGAGCUACAUGUUCUGCUUGCGGAAGCGCACGGGCUACGCACACAGGAUUUGCCAACGGUGGCCGCCGCGGGAACUGGACUGCAAGCCGGCACGCUGCCAUACUUCUCCGGCGAGGAGAGAGCUGCGAGGGGUGCUCUGGCUAACCGCAGUGAAAUGCAAGAAAGGAAGAGGGAUCAGAGGAGGAAGGGCCCUGUGAUUGUAACACCGUGCCGCAGUGCAAGGUGGGCAGCUCCACUCGCCAUCCGCUCGGAGUCCCGGCGCUAGUGACGGAGACUGCGCGAGGCGGCCAUGGAUGAACCACAUCGGGGCGCGCGGUGCACUGCUCGCGGGAUCUGGCUGAACUACACAAGCAAAAUCCAGAAAAAAGAAAAAAAAACUCUUUCUAACCACACCCGCAUGGCGAGGUGCACUGCACCAUGCAUCACUGGCGAACAACACUAGCACGGCAGCCACGCUCGUGGCUAGCUCCCUCAGCCUCCCCUUCUCAAGCUGUCGGAGGUAGUUAGAAGGGACGGGAGCGGGACGAUGCGGAUCGGAGACCUCCGCCGCGGGACUGUCGAAGGGCGGCGAGGCAAGGUAGGGCGUUGGCCGAUCCGGUCGUGGGUAGGGUGGAUCCGGCCGGGGCGACCAGCAAGAGAUCGUCGGUGGGGCGAUGCAAUCAGGAAGGGGAGGGACGGCGGGUGGGCAUGAGAGGAGGCGCGGUGGCCGUCGGACAUGAAU